rnacentral:rRNA from 1 species
UACGUAGGUGGCAAGCGUUGUCCGGAAUUAUUGGGCGUAAAGCGCGCGCAGGCGGGAUGGUAAGUCUAACUUAAAAGUGCGGGGCUCAACUCCGUGAGGGGUUGGAAACUACCAUUCUUGAGUGCAGGAGAGGAAAGUGGAAUUCCUAGUGUAGCGGUGAAAUGCGUAGAUAUUAGGAGGAACACCAGUGGCGAAGGCGACUUUCUGGACUGUGUCUGACGCUGAGGCGCGAAAGCCAGGGGAGUGAACG